UCUCCGUUGGUGAACCAGCGGAGGGAUCAUUAUAGAGUUUUCUAAACUCCCUACCCUUUGUGAACUUACCUUUGUUGCCUCGGCGGGGCCUACCCGGUACCGACCCCUUUUGGGCGAAGUUACCCUGUAGCCCGCCGGCGGCCCCUUACUCUUUGCCUCUCGCGUUGUCUCUCCGAGUAUCGCAGAAUGCAUAAAAACUUUCAACAACGGAUCUCUUGGCUCUGGCAUCGAUGAAGAACGCAGC
rnacentral:misc_RNA from 1 species